GAUGAACGCUGGCGGCGUGCCUAAUACAUGCAAGUCGAGCGAACAGACGAGGAGCUUGCUCCUUUGACGUUAGCGGCGGACGGGUGAGUAACACGUGGGUAACCUACCUAUAAGACUGGGAUAACUUCGGGAAACCGGAGCUAAUACCGGAUAAUAUUUCGAACCGCAUGGUUCGAUAGUGAAAGAUGGCUUUGCUAUCACUUAUAGAUGGACCUGCGUCGUAUUAGCUAGUUGGUAAGGUAACGGCUUACCAAGGCGACGAUACGUAGCCGACCUGAGAGGGUGAUCAGCCACACUGGAACUGAGACACGGUCCAGACUCCUACGGGAGGCAGCAGUAGGGAAUCUUCCGCAAUGGGCGAAAGCCUGACGGAGCAACGCCGCGUGAGUGAUGAAGGUCUUCGGAUCGUAAAACUCUGUUAUUAGGGAAGAACAAACGUGUAAGUAACUGUGCACGUCUUGACGGUACCUAAUCAGAAAGCCACGGCUAACUACGUG
rnacentral:rRNA from 1 species